GACCACUCCCCUGGAGUUAAGGCCAUACGGACAGCCGGGUCCACUGCCGA
rnacentral:sRNA from 1 species